rnacentral:rRNA from 1 species
GAUGAACGCUGGCGGCGUGCUUAACACAUGCAAGUCGAACGAUGAAGCCCAGCUUGCUGGGUGGAUUAGUGGCGAACGGGUGAGUAACACGUGAGUAACCUGCCCUUAACUCUGGGAUAAGCCUGGGAAACUGGGUCUAAUACCGGAUAGGAGCGUCCACCGCAUGGUGGGUGUUGGAAAGAUUUAUCGGUUUUGGAUGGACUCGCGGCCUAUCAGCUUGUUGGUGAGGUAAUGGCUCACUAAGGCGACGACGGGUAGCCGGCCUGAGAGGGUGACCGGCCACACUGGGACUGAGACACGGCCCAGACUCCUACGGGAGGCAGCAGUGGGGAAUAUUGCACAAUGGGCGCAAGCCUGAUGCAGCGACGCCGCGUGAGGGAUGACGGCCUUCGGGUUGUAAACCUCUUUCAGUAGGGAAGAAGCGAAAGUGACGGUACCUGCAGAAGAAGCACCGGCUAACUACGUG